rnacentral:tRNA from 1 species
AAACUUAGGUUAAAUAAACCAGGGACCUUCAAAGCCCCAAACAAGAGUCACCACAUCCUCCUAGUUUCU